UGAUAAGUCUGUAUUUCAUCACUUUUUGAGCAUGUAUUCAUCAUCUUUUCAGCAUCUUCCACUUGUUGAUUCGCAUCAUAUUGAUCACUUUCUGCAUGUUUUGCAUACUUAGGUAGGUUUUAUGCAUAUCAUGCAUGUCUUGCAUACAUUCUGCAUAUUUGGAGUGUUUCAGGUACUUAGGAGACAUGCAGAGCGAAGCAGA
rnacentral:lncRNA from 1 species